AACGAACGCUGGCGGCAUGCCUAACACAUGCAAGUCGAACGAGACCUUCGGGUCUAGUGGCGCACGGGUGCGUAACGCGUGGGAACCUGCCCUUAGGUUCGGAAUAACUCCCCGAAAGGGGUGCUAAUACCGGAUAAUGUCUUCGGACCAAAGAUUUAUCGCCUUUGGAUGGGCCCGCGUUGGAUUAGCUAGUUGGUAGGGUAAAAGCCUACCAAGGCGACGAUCCAUAGCUGGUCUGAGAGGAUGAUCAGCCACACUGAGACUGAGACACGGCCCAGACUCCUACGGGAGGCAGCAGUGGAGAAUAUUGGACAAGGGGCGAAAGCCUGAUCCAGCAAUGCCGCGUGAGUGAUGAAGGCCUUAGGGUUGUAAAGCUCUUUUAGCCGGGAUGAUAAUGACAGUACCGGGAGAAUAAGCUCCGGCUAACUCCGUG
rnacentral:rRNA from 1 species